GUCGUAACUACAAUCCCCUUCCCUUUCCUGAAUGUGACCUACCGAAUUAGACUAUUUACCGGAUUUGUUAUCACAUAAGCAACACGACGGGUGCCGCAUGUGGAGCAGGAUCUGCUUACCCUUCCGGAGCACCUGAGAUCACCCCUAGUUUUUUAGUGGGGUUCGUGUUGUUUAUUCUUUAGUUUUCUAUGUUGUGUCGUGUGUGCUGUUGUUUGUUUGUCUUUUUCAUUUUUAGCCAUGGCGUUGUCAGUUUGUUUUAGAUUUAUGAGUUUGACUUUCCCUUUGGUAUCUGUCGUCCCUCUUUUA
rnacentral:lncRNA from 1 species